CCUACGGGGUGCAGCAGUGAGGAAUAUUGGUCAAUGGGCGCGAGCCUGAACCAGCCAAGUCGCGUGAGGGAAGACGGUCCUAUGGAUUGUAAACCUCUUUUGUCGGGGAGCAAAAGCCGCCACGCGUGCCGUUCCGAGAGUACCCGAAGAAAAAGCAUCGGCUAACUCCGUGCCAGUAGCCGCGGUAAUACGGAGGAUGAGAGCGUUAUCCGGAUUUAUUGGGUUUAAAGGGUGCGCAGGCGGAAUAUCAAGUCAGCGGUAAAAUCGAGAGGCUCAACCCCUUCCAGCCGUUGAAACUGGUGUUCUUGAGUGAGUGAGAAGUAUGCGGAAUGCGUGGUGUAGCGGUGAAAUGCAUAGAUAUCGCGCAGAACUCCGAUUGCGAAGGCAGCAUACCGGCGCCCCACUGACGCUGAUGCACGAAAGUGUGGGUAUCGAACAGGAUUAGAUACCCUUGUAGUC
rnacentral:rRNA from 1 species